rnacentral:rRNA from 1 species
GACGAACCGUGCGAACGUUGUUCGGAAUCACUGGGCUUAAAGAGCGCGCAGGCGGUCGUUCAAGUCGCGUGUGAAAGCCCCCGGCUCAACUGGGGAGGGUCACGCGAUACUGAUCGACUCGAAGGCAGGAGGGGGUAGUGGAAUUCCCGGUGUAGUGGUGAAAUGCGUAGAUAUCGGGAGGAACACCAGUGGCGAAGGCGACUACCUGGCCUGUUCUUGACGCUGAGGCGCGAAAGCUAGGGGAGCGAACGGG